CGCCCGCCUGGCCUUGCUGGUGCUGGGCGCCGCCUUGCUGGCGGCGGCCCGGGCCGCGCCGGCGGACGAACAGCCGUUCGACAUCGCUGUCGUCGGCCA
rnacentral:tRNA from 1 species